rnacentral:rRNA from 1 species
GUGAGGAAUAUUGCGCAAUGGAGGCAACUCUGACGCAGCCAUGCCGCGUGCAGGAAGAAGGCGCUACGCGUUGUAAACUGCUUUUAACCGGGAAGAAACCCCAGGACGUGUCCUGGGUUGACGGUACCGGAGGAAUAAGCACCGGCUAACUUCGUGCCAGCAGCCGCGGUAAUACGAAGGGUGCAAGCGUUAUCCGGAUUCAUUGGGUUUAAAGGGUGCGUAGGCGGAGCGUUAAGUCAGUGGUGAAAUCCUGCAGCUUAACUGUAGACUUGCCAUUGAUACUGGCGCUCUUGAGUGCGCUGGAAGUGGGCGGAAUGUGCCGUGUAGCGGUGAAAUGCUUAGAUAUGGCACAGAACACCAAUUGCGAAGGCAGCUCACUAAGGCGAUACUGACGCUGAGGCACGAAAGCGUGGGGAUCGAACAGGAUUAGAAACCCUGGUAGUCC